rnacentral:lncRNA from 1 species
CCAAUUUUUUGGUUCCUAAGACCAACGGAUAGCUCCUAUCCUUUAAAAGUUUGAGAGAGCCAUGUUUGUUGGACAUGGGGGCAUGAAUUAGCAGUUCUUGCAUACUUUCUCGGUAAAUAAGAAAUAUUGAGUUUCUGUUUCUAGAUCCACAAUCUAGUGUUUUUGUUAAACUAUAUUUACAGUACGUAAAGCCUAGGAUAAUUUUAGGGUUAAGUGACAGGAGUAGUAGGGGAGUCAUGUGGAGGGCCAUGAGUGCGUUUUCUCAUGUAAAUGAAGGUUUAAUGCUGUUGAUAUGGUGUGUGUAUUUCCCUCGUUGUGUUGUGAUUAGUAUGUAUAGGGAGUAGAGGGCGGUGAUGGUGAUAUUGGCUCCUAUUAGGAUAAUGGUAAUAUUUGAUCAUGAGAAUGAUGAUAUUACUACGAAUAGCUCUCCAAUUAGGUUAAUGCUGGGAGGGAGGGCCAGGCUGCUAUAAGGGGAAGAAGUGUUUGAAGCCCACGGGCUAGGAUUAUAGUUCGGCUAUGGGUACGUUCGUAAUUUGAGUUUGCCAGGCCGUGAGCGAUUAUUAGGGCUGUAGCUCCUAUAUAACUUCAUGGUGUUUGGAUGAGGACGGCUACGAUUACUAGGGCUAUGUGGCUGACAGAGGAGUAUGCAAUAAGUGAUUUUAGAUCGGUUUGUCGCAAGCAGAUGGAACUAGUUAUGAUUAUUCCUCACAGGGAUAGUAUGAGGAAGGGGUAGGCUAUAAAGCUAGUUUGGGGGUUUAGUAUUGUUGUAAUUCGUAGUAUUCCAUAGCCUCCUAGUUUUAGUAGAAUGGCUGCUAGCACUAUGGAUCCGGCAAUUGGGGCUUCUACAUGGGCUUUUGGGAGUCAGAGGUGAAGACCAUAUAGGGGUAUUUUGACUAUGAAUGCUAUUAUACAUGCUAGUCAUAGGAAAAUAUUGGAUCAAGAGUGGGGUAGUGCUUGGUUUCAGUAUUGAAUUAAUAGGAAGUUUAGUGAGCCUGUUAGGUUUUGGAUAGAGAUUAGUGCAACUAAGAGUGGGAGGGAACCUAUUAGUGUGUAGAAUAGGAAGUAGAGGCCUGCGUUCAGGCGUUCUGUUUGGUUGCCUCAGCGGGUGAUGAUAAUUAGUGUUGGAACUAAUGUGGCUUCAAAUAGGAUGUAGAAGGAGAUUAGUUCUGUGGCGGUAAAAGUCAUGAUUAGGAAAGUUUGAAGUAUGGUUAGCC